UACGGAGGGGGCUAGCGUUAUUCGGAAUUAUUGGGCGUAAAGGGCGCGUAGGCGGCCCGGUAAGUCAAAGGUGAAAUCCCUCGGCUCAACUGAGGAACUGCCUUUGAAACUGUCGGGCUUGAGUCCGGGAGGGGGUAGCGGAAUUCCCAGUGUAGCGGUGAAAUGCGUAGAUAUUGGGAGGAACACCGGUGGCGAAGGCGGCUACCUGGACCGGUUCUGACGCUGAUGCGCGAAAGCGUGGGGAGCGAACAGG
rnacentral:rRNA from 1 species